CUUGAGAAUACUUUGCAGGUAGUAUCGCUUCAGCAUUUUGUGAAGAUGCCUCGGAAAGGUAGGAGAUCCCGGGCUCAAAAAGUUCGUUGGACAAAGUUAGACCUAACAGGACAGAUGAGCGUCAGUAAAGGUGUUGCUCAGGUUUCUGAUGGACAGCAGUACGAAGAUGGCGACAACACAUCUAGAAUUCUAUCCGUGCAGGCGUCUCAUUGCCAGAGUGAUGCAAGGAAGAUUCCGACAGGAUCUUUUAAGCAUGGCUGAAGUACCUGUGAGCAUCACAACUUCUAACCACACCUACAGCGUCCAAAAGUCAGAAGUGGUGAUGGGAUAUCUGAGAGAUAGAGGAACUCAGGAAAUGGACGCGUGGUGGAUUCCUCUUGAUGAAAGACUUCAGUGUCUUUCAACAGAUGUCAGCCAUGCACUGCUUAUUGUUUCUCCAGAAUGCUUUGCUGUGUUCAGAGAUGGAUCUGGAAGAUAUGGAUUUUUUGAUUCCCAUUCCAGAACUGCUGAAGGUUUGCAACAUCCUACUGGUGAAGGAACCGCAGUUAUGCUAACUUUCACCAACCUGCAUGACAUGACCAACAGAUUACUUGAGCUUUUUUGGAAUCGUGGUCCUCAAGCUUGCUAUGAAUUCAUGGCUGUUUCAUUUGAAAUGGAGCAACAGUAUGAGGAACCAUGCUCAUCAUCAGCAUGUGUGACACCAUCACAAGUAACUUCAACUCUGCCAAAAACACAAACAAAUGCUGACGUCAGAAUCCCUGAAAAUCUUGUUCUUACAGAUGACAGAAACCAAAGUGUCAUAAAAGUUUUAAAAACAAACAAGCAGCGAAGAAGAAAACAAGUGCGUAAAAUUGCAAAUGAAAAGCAAAAAGCAAGACUUAAGAAAACCGCUCCACAUUUUGAAGUCCGGGAUCAAAAAAGACGAGAAUAUGAGAGAGAGAAAUAUGCCACCAAUUUGUAUUUUCGGAAGAAGAAAAUGGAGGUCACCAAAAAGAAGUAUGCUCAAGAUUCUUUUGCCAGAUUCAAAAAGGUAGAGUACAUGACCAAGAGGUACAACACUGAUGUUCUCUUCCAGAAAAAGAGGAAAGAGUACAUAAUCAAGAGGUACCACACUGAUGCUCUUUUCCAGAGGAAAAUGAAGAACUACAUGGACAGGAGGUACAAGACAGAUGCUCUUUUCCAGAAGAAAAAGAAGGACUACAUGGUCAGGAGGUAUCGCAUGGAUGCUUUUUUCCAGAAGAAAAUGAAGGACUA
ensembl:lncRNA